rnacentral:rRNA from 1 species
UUUUAUGGAGAGUUUGAUCCUGGCUCAGGACGAACGCUGGCGGCGUGCUUAACACAUGCAAGUCGAACGGAGUCUUAGAGGAAGCUUGCGAA